GGAAAACACACUGAGCGCCAGGCAGGUGAACACCAUCAGGAAUCUUUAGAAAAUGAUAAGUCAGAUCAUUUCGUGAACAAAUUAUUUUAGUUAUUUUAAAACACUAUUACUUUGAAGAUAUGGGCUUUUAAGUGUACUUACACCAUCACAUGGUAGAAGAUGGCGUGCAGGCCGCGCGGCCGCUCCAGGAAGUUGUACAGGCGACUCUGGAGGCGCCGGUAGCGAACAUCGCGGCGGGUGCCGCGGUUGUAGUUCAGCGGCUUUCCUAGGAGUGACAUUCGCGGUUGCAGGAUUCGUUCCGAGUUCGGCCUGCCCGGUCUACAUUUCCUGCAAUUCCAGAGUUUCAGGUGUACCCCUUGUACCCCCUUAUGUCGUAGAAGGCAUAUAUAUCGUUGUCCGGAUCCAUUCUGAUCUCAUUCCACCCCGCUGAGUUAUCGGAAAAUCUCGGCAAAUAUUUUUGACACUUCGGACACGUCUGGCUCCAACGACGAAUGAACCGCAACUCGAUCGUCGGGCGAGCGACGGCCGGUUAAAAAACCUUCCUUAACAACUAGACUUUGAAAACCCCAUGUGUAAAUUUUAUUAAUUAUCUACAUAAACAGUUUUUUCGUCCA